rnacentral:rRNA from 1 species
GACGAACGCUGGCGGCGUGCCUAAUACAUGCAAGUAGAACGCUGAAGGAGGAGCUUACUUCUCUGGAUGAGUUGCGAACGGGUGAGUAACGCGUAGGUAACCUGCCUGGUAGCGGGGGAUAACUAUUGGAAACGAUAGCUAAUACCGCAUAAGAGUAGAUGUUGCAUGACAUUUACUUAAAAGGUGCAAUUGCACCACUACCAGAUGGACCUGGGUUGUAUUAGCUAGUUGGUGGGGUAACGCCUUACCAAGGCGACGAUACAUAGCCGACCUGAGAGGGUGAUCGACCACACUGGGACUGAGACACGGCCCAGACUCCUACGGGAGGCAGCAGUAGGGAAUCUUCGGCAAUGGACGGAAGUCUGACCGAGCAACGCCGCGUGAGUGAAGAAGGUUUUCGGAUCGUAAAGCUCUAUUGUAAGAGAAGAACGAGUGUGAGAGUGGAAAGUUCACACUGUGACGGUAUCUUACCAGAAAGGGACGGCUAACUACGUGCCAGCAGCCGCCGUAA